rnacentral:rRNA from 1 species
GAGGAAUAUUGGUCAAUGGGCUUACGCCUGAACCAGCCAAGUCGCGUGAGGGAAGACUGCCCUAUGGGUUGUAAACCUCUUUUGUCAGGGAGCAACGCCGGCUACGUGUAGCCGGACUGAGAGUACCUGAAGAAAAAGCAUCGGCUAACUCC